rnacentral:rRNA from 1 species
UUUUUUAAUUUUUUUUGCGCGUCGUGACAAACAAAAACGCACGUGCGUGACAUAUAUUAACCCCGUUUUUUCUUAUUUUCCAUGUUUGCGGUACGUUUUCGCUCGCUGCUCAUUAUUCACGCGUCUAGCGGCGGCGUUGUGGCACGGCAAGCGCGUUCCGAAAGGGGUCGAGACCGUGGUAAAUACGUGGUGGUGCGGUUGAGAGGGAGGGGUGGAAACCGUGGUAAACUCGUUCUCCGCAGUUGAGCGGGAGUGGCCAAAAGAAUGUGCAAUCGUUUUUGUAGUGGAGCUGGGAGGGGCAAGCAUAAGGGACGAAGGCAGGGGUAACAUGUCGGAUGCGAUCAUACCAGCACUAAAGCACCGGAUCCAUCAGAACUCCGAAGUUAAGCGUGCUUGGGCGAGAGUAGUACUAGGAUGGGUGACCUCCUGGGAAGUCCUCGUGUUGCAUUCC